AUUGAACGCUGGCGGCAGGCCUAACACAUGCAAGUCGAACGAGUGGCGGACGGGUGAGUAAUGUCUGGGAAACUGCCUGAUGGAGGGGGAUAACUCCUGGAAACGGUAGCCAAUACCGCAUACCAUCAGAUGUGCCCAGAUGGGAUUAGCUCGUUGGUGGGGUAACGGCUCACAAAGGCGACGAUCCCUAGCUGGUCUGAGAGGAUGACCAGCCAGACUGGAACUGAGACACGGUACAGAAGCCGACGGGAGGAAGCAGGGGGGAAUAGUGCACAAUGGGCGCAAGACGGAUGCAGCCAUGCCGAGUGUAUGAAGAAGGACGUCGGGUUGUAAAGUACUUUCAGCGGGGAGGCGUUACCCGCAGAAGAAGCACCGGCGAACGCCGUGCCAGCAGCGGCGGUAAUAC
rnacentral:rRNA from 1 species